AGAAUCAGAAUUGCUAGAGGUCCAAAGCAUUCGAGAUAAAAAGCCAAUCGUGAAGGUGGAGCUAGGGGCACCUUGCGGCAAGAUCGAAGGGCCUUUUCUACUUUCUGACGGCAGGGUGGAAAUGGAAGUGAUGCUUGACAAGGCAACAUAUUGCCACGGCGAAUUAAUCAAUGUCCACACGUACAUCACAAACCACUCGUCAAAGAUCAUUCAGUGGACAAAGUUUCAGGUGAUAGUUAUUCAGCAUAUAGACGUUUACAUGAACUCAAAUGGGAAGUUCAAAAAUGUAGUGGCAUUUAAACAAGAAUAUGGCAAACCAAUUCGACCUGAGAAGGCCCACCAUUAUAUUUAUAAAGUGAGGCCUCACAGAGGUGUCAUCAAGGAAUGGAUAGCACUCCAAGAUUCAUAUUCAGAAACCGGCGCAACUCUAGCAUCAACCUUUCCAUGUAAUUCUGACACUAACGUGAAUGAGCGUAACGUAUUCGCUAUUGAAGUGUCCUACUAUGUGAAAGUAAAGUUAACACAUAGUGAAAUAGACGGUACAGUUUCCGUCAAACUACCGUUCACUCUUACCCGGUCCUGCAUCGAUUAAGCCGGAAGCCUGCUUCUAUGGGGUGCUUCGUCUGUUACGGUUAGCUUACCAUAGAUUAGCGUAACAGACGAAGCAAGCGACCGAACUUAAAUGAUUCUAGAUGGUAGAGAAGAGAAAGCAGAAGUAAAGGACAACCAGAACAGCAACAGAGAAACAAUUCAUGAAGCGGAUGAACGUCACCAGAGAAUUAUAGAUCCAUCGCGCAUGUGCUGGUAAAUAUCGUUAAUAUUUACCAGCACAUGCGCAGCCAGAAUUUCACGAGAUCCGAUGAAAUAGUAAAAGUUUAAUCGAAUGUAGUGAAUCCGAUUAAGUGGAAUUGCAAAUCGAAGUCUGAAUGAAAGGCAGAGAAUUUGAAAAGAGCUGUGUUGAG